AUUCCUAUGAUAAAGUUCGUGAGCUGUUUCAGAAACAAGAGUAUAAGUUUAAUCAUUUGAGUAAUACUUUAAGUUUCGGGACGAAACUUAUUUUAAGGGGGGUAGAUUGUAACACCCCGUAUUUUAUACCCGUAUAGUAAUUAGUUACAUUAAUUUAUUUAAUAAAAAUGAUUUCAGAUUUCUUUUUUAAAAAAAAAUACUUUUUUUUUACUAACUUUGACUUUACCUUUGAAGUGGUUAAAAAAGAAAAAAAACUGAUUCCUAAAUUUACUAGGUUACUAUCUAAUACAUAUUAGUAUAAGGAGAGAGAAAGUAAAAAGAAAAAUAAAAGAAAGUCUUCAUCCCUCUUCUAACCUACGUGCAGUAGCUUUAAAAAAAAAAAGGAUGAAGCCUUCCUCACAUUGAUCAUCUUCUUCUCCAUUUAUUUUUCCCUUAUUUUUGAUUCAAUACCCUAAAUUCAUGAAUUUUGUUCAACUUUCUUCACGAUUCAACUUUCCUUCAUCUACCUUUUUCAAUACUUAGAUAUUGUGAGUAUUUCAAAGAGGUAAAAUUUGGGUUUUAUUUUGGAAGUUUUUGGGACGAACUUCAGAUCAAAAGGGCGUUUUUCGGGUCUUCUUGUGUGAUUUUUAUCUUCCAUAUUCAAAUUGCGGGUUCGUAGAGGAACCUUUCUGACUCGAGAUUGAGUUUUGUUAGCUGUGGUUGCUGAUAAGGGACUUGAAGAUAGUUAGCUCCAGUUGGGUUAAAGAGUGCGUUGGAUCCCUUUUGAUUUAAUAAGACUUUUAAAAAGACUUCCGCUGUUAUUCAUUUAUAAGAUUUAUGUUCCGGUUUGUAAUAAUUAAUUUACAUUCUAUUUAGUUGGUCUGUAAUAGUUAGUUAAAACUUAUUGUUUAUUGUUUUAGUUAGAACCAUUAGCCUUGCGGUUAUUAUUAAUAAUUAUCGCGGCGUAGCACCUUUGGAUUUC